UUUCCGUAGGUGAACCUGCGGAAGGAUCAUUACAGAGUUCAUGCCCUCACGGGUAGAUCUCCCACCCUUGAAUAUUUAUACCUUAGUUGCUUUGGCAGGCCGUGGAAACACCAUGGGCUCCGGCUUAUGCGUGCCUGCCAGAGGAAACAAACUCUGUUUUUAGUGAUGUCUGAGUACUAUAUAAUAGUUAAAACUUUCAACAACAGAUCUCUUGGUUCUG
rnacentral:misc_RNA from 1 species